rnacentral:rRNA from 1 species
CCUACGGGGGGCAGCAGUGGGGAAUAUUGCACAAUGGGCGAAAGCCUGAUGCAGCAACGCCGCGUGAAGGAAGACGGUUCUCGGAUUGUAAACCUCUGUUUUUAGUGAAGAAUAAUGAUGGUAACUAAGCAGCAAGCCACGGCUAACCACGUGCCAGCAGCCGCGGGACUACGGAGGAGGCAAGCGUUGUCCGGAAUUACUGGGUGUAAAGGGAGCGUAGGCGGGAGGACAAGUCAGCUGUGAAAACUACGGGCUUAACCUGGAGACUGCAGUUGAAACUGGCUGUCUUGAGAGAAGUAGAGGUUGGCGGAAUGCCGGGUGUAGCGGUGAAAUGCGUAGAUAUUCGGAGGAACACCGAUGGCGAAGGCAGCCAACUGGGCUUUAACUGACGCUGAGGCUCGAAAGUGUGGGGAGCAAACAGGAUUAGAUACCCUUGUAGUC